rnacentral:rRNA from 1 species
AUACGGAGGAUCCGAGCGUUAUCCGGAUUUAUUGGGUUUAAAGGGUGCGCAGGCGGGAGAUUAAGUCGGCGGUGAAAUUUUGCAGCUUAACUGUAAAAAGUGCCUUCGAAACUGGUUUUCUUGAGUGUAGAUGAAGUAGGCGGAAUUUGUGGUGUAGCGGUGAAAUGCUUAGAUAUCACAAAGAACUCCGAUUGCGCAGGCAGCUUACUAAACUACAACUGACACUGAAGCACGAAAGCGUGGGGAUC